GGUGCUGCAGCUCAGUAGUUAGAGUGCCCGCCCUGCAAACGGGAGGCUGUGAGUUUGAACCUCACCUGGGCCU
rnacentral:tRNA from 1 species